AAAAUUUAAAUGCCUUCCAUUCCUUUUGAAAAACAAAAAAAAUCCCUUGAGGAGCAAAAUGUUAAUAUUUGUGUUUGGAUCUUUCUAGAAGUCCAGGGGAGCUAUUUAAUAGAAGUGAUUAGCAGUUAGGAAAAAGGCCAAGGACAACUGAAACUGAGUGUUUUGAAUCCGAUUGCUUGUAAAGGACUGUUUUAUUGACUCAUUUUUUCUUCUUCUUUUUUUUUUUUAAUAGGUUCUUUCCUCUUCAUCUUUGAAACGAUGAAGAAAACUGUUUGCUGUGCAUGCCAGUUAGUAGGGUGGUGAGUGCUACAUUGAGGAGGCCUUACUGCCAGGUGCAAAUAGAGCUUGAAAUUUCCUGCCACCUCUGUGCUCAAGGUGCCAGUACCAUCAGGGCAACAGGGAGCCCGUUGGAAAUGCAGAACCUCUGGCCCCAAGCAGACCAAUUCAAUCUCUGUCUGCAUUUUAAUGAAUCUUGGGAGAAAUGCAUGCACAUUAGAGAUUGAGAAGCAGUGACUGAGCCCAGCCUUGGCAAUUAGAAUCACCUGGGCUGCUCACAACCUGUCAGCUAGCUGCAGCAUGGUGAGACCGUGAGAGGAGCAGGGGAGAGCUCUAGCAAAGUGGAAGUCACCGUCUUCUGCCACCUAAUCUCAGAACUGACAUCCCAUCCCAUUUUCCGUGUUCUGUUGGUUAGAGCAAGUCUCUCUGGGUAAAGGAAGUGGAGAUUUGAUUUAUACUCUGCAUACUUCUUAAUCAGAUCAACUGUUCCAGAAAGUUGUCCUGGCUUUGCAGCUGCACCAUGACAGCCUUUUGCUAGACAAAGCAUCAACGCUACAUGCCAUUGGUAGGCAAUGACAUCACAAUCUUGGGAGAACUAAACUGAUCUGAUGUGAGUUGUGGAGACUCCAGGAUUUCCACCUGAAGGAGUUUAGAAGCAUCAACCUGAUAGAAGUAAAGGUCUCUGAAGGAAACUUAGCAAGAGCAGUCUUGAUUGUGUCAUGGAGGAGGAAGCCAGACCAGAAUGGCUAAGGGGCUCACAGGAAGCAGCAAGCCGUGGAACUCUUGAGAAGUUUGUCUCGGCAGAGCACCAAACCUCUCUGAUUAUUAUGGUGGAAGCUAAUCUGCAGCUCAGGAUGUUCUAACCUCUUCUAACCAGGAUGUUGCUGGGGAAAUAACACAUUUUAUGUCCUAGUGAUGGGGUCAGGAUAUAGAAAGAGACAACAGCAGGUGCAGGGGCAACCCUGCACAAGCUGUGUCAACCUUCAACAGAGAGACGUGAGGACACGCUUGCUUGCAAGCACUGAUCUCAAAAGCUCAGCUUUAAAUGGGCAGCACCUGAGAAGGGUGUGACGGGCCUUUCACAAAGAGGCAAAGCAGGCCUGAGUUGGCCUUCGGUGUGUUUAGAAAAUCAUGUGGCCUAGCUUCCUUAGAGAAUAAAUCCUCUUGGAGUUUCAUGUAUGCCUAAAGGUUACCAUGGAGUUUAAUGAGAAACUGGCUGCUUAUAUGGAACCUACUGGUGUGGUUGAAAUUCAAAGACAGAUUGAAAUUCAUCUCCCCCAGUCUUUCCAAGGUUAUUAUCAAAAUUCGCUUGCAUUUCCUGAUUGCAAGUACUCGACUCUUCUGAAGUAGAGUGGCCCAGAAUAAAAUCUGGAACUUAAAGUGGACGAGCUCUUCUAUGAAAUCUACAUGCUUGGAAUUCAGAGGUUAACAUGUAGAAUGCCUCACAAGUAAAGGUAUCACUAGGUACCCAGGAGGAAAAUGAGGGGUGUGGUGAGAUGGGGAUCAGGAGAGCAAGAACCCGGAAGUCAGCACGCAUACCUGAUGAGUACUUUAGAGUUGACAAAGCACCUUCACAAGUAUUACUGCAUUUCCUCUUCAUCGCAAUGCCUGAGGUAGCUAGGACAGUAUGCAUUCCAUUUUACAGAUGAGGAAACCAAGGUUGGGGCUCGCCAAGGAUCCCACGUUUCGUGAAUACCAAGGGCUACGCUGGUGUACACUGCAUUUUCCAUUGGACUCUUCCUUUCCCAAAGCACUAUCUACUUUGGGAGAAACUGAACUCAGCUUGGUGUUGAUCUUUAAAACAACUGACCCACAGAGACCAACACUCAGUGGAUGUGAUCCUCCCAGGGAACAUUUCUAUCUCCACCUCUUUCCUCCCACCCCAAAAUGAGUGUGGCAUCCAAAAUGAAUCUCUCUGAUUGGUGGGAAAUAAAGAUGAGGAAGCUGAGUUUCAAAAAACGUUAAUCCAAGAGGAUGGAAUUAGGAAAUAACAGAGCCAGGGCAACUCAUACAAAACAAGGUGUACUCUCAGAGAACAUGAAAAAAGGACUGAAAGAAGGAGCAUGAUGAGAGUGGAAGGCUGGAGACCUGGUCUCGAGUUUCACCUGGGCCACAAACCAGCUACAUUAUUUUGGCCAAGUCAAUGAACAGGUAGGACCUGGUUUCCUUCCUCCCUCUCUCCCUCCUUCCCUCCCUUCCUGUCUUCCUUCCCUCUCUCCUUUCCUCCCUCCUUCCUUCCUCUUUCCUUCCCUCCCUCCUUCCCUCUUUCCUUCCUUUCUAAUUAGGUCUUUGUAAUAGACACCACAUUCAUUCAUUUAUUUAUUCCUUCAUAUUCCCUCACUUAACACACAUUGACUGGACAUCUACUUUGUGGCUGGGACAACAAUGGACAAAACAGAAAAGAAAUCCCUGCCCUCUUGGAGCUUAAAUUCUGGUGAGGGAAGACAGAAAAUAAUAACCAAAUAAAUAAAGCAGGAAAAUAUGGAAUAUGCUAAACAGGGAUAAGGAAAUCAGGAAUGGGAUCUAAAUCACAUCAGAGGGUGAGACUUCUGCAAUAUUAGAUAGAGUGGUUGUGCCAGUUUGAAUGUAUUGUGUCCCCCAAACGCCAUUAUCUUUGAUGUAAUCUUGUGUGGGCAGACAUUAUCAGUUUUGAUUAGAUUUCUUUGAGUGUUUCUUUGGAGCUGC